ACUGGUGUUGUAACCCUGGGUGACUGUUUCUGUGUUACAGAUCAACUGGUGUUCCCACUAUGGCGUGUUGUAUCCCUGGGUCAGCAUCCUGACUCCAGCUCACGUCAACAUCAUUCCAGAAGACCUCCUCAAACUACAGUCCCUGCUGUGCGGUCCCACCCUGGACGCGUCAUCCAUCCUGCCCCUGUUGGAGCAGCUGCCAGACGGGGACAACGCCGGGCUCAGUGUGCACGUGCUCUGRGCCACCAAGCUGGGUCACUACGAGAGCUCCAUCGAGAGGUUGCUAGACCGCUGUCCUCAGGCCAUCAUCCCUUARGCUAAUCAUGAGCUGCAGAACAACAACAUGGCUCUGUGGUGGCAGAAGRUGUUCCCUGAGCUGUGUGAGAGAACCAGGGCAACACAGGGAGAGAACAGCAUCCUGCUGGCUGCUCUCAAAGAAACGUUGGUGUGUUGCCAUGGAGCUGAACCCCCUGGAGUUCCUGGACCUGUUGCCUGACGACGGGACGGUCCACUUCUUCCUGCCUCACCUGCUGGAGUGCAGCCAGAGAAACCUCAUGAUGUGAGGAGGAAGAGGAGGAGGAGCUGUAGAAUUACAACUAGUAGAACAGACUAGUAGCUCUAAAAACCAAUGUUUUAUUUCAUGGUCCAUCCAAUAUGGCAGAUUAGUUGAAUUUGACAUUUCUGCCUAAGUAGAACUGGUUAGUUAGUGUCCAUUUUAAGCAUACAUUCCAAAUGGUACGCCCAGUACAGCAACUGAUGCAACGUACCGUUGGUUUGAAUGGAAAUGUCCCUUCUACUGAUUCUAUUUCUAUGGAGGAUCCUAAACCUGGAAGGCGCUGGACAAUCAACCACUUAGAGUGGAGUGAGCCUCUGAAAAKCCUACUACUGCAGAGCCUUAUGGAAAUGGUACCCAUACAAAACCACUGUUUGUAGUCCUAUUAGUCAAAUUUAAUAUGAACAGAGAAUUUUGCUGUGCAGAGAUAUGACACUAUUUUUGAUUUUUAAUAAGGAAAUCCUGAAUAAUUUUUUWWAACUUUUUUUUUUCUUCUCUGACCUCAAUUUUUCUAUUYCUGUUUUAGUAUUGUCACGUACCACUGCAGGGUAUGACUAGCGACAAGUCCUCUUCUGUGUGGACUUGUGGAUACCCCUGAGACCGUUAUUACUGAGUAUUAGGAACWGGAUGUUGAGUUAUACACUGGGCUAGUCUUUCUGGUGUUCAUUGGAAGAAGAGAUAAGGAAAGGUGGUUGAAUAACGUGGAAGGGAGUUUCUCUGAGAGGUGUAACCUCACUACUGUGAAACCCCCCGUAUAUCAUAUAUUCCCAGUGUUUGUUUAGCUUUUAUCACAUUUUUUUUUGGUUCGCUGCGUUUAAUAAAUGCUCUCUAAAAACA